UUAUAUGACGUCAUCAAUAACUAGAUAAUUAUAUAUAAUAUAAUUUGUAAAAAAUAUAAUAAAAAAUAAUUUUUUAAUAAUUAUAUUGAAAUAGAUGAAUUCAAAAAAUAAUCUUAUAGAUUACUUUUUCAGAAAUUAUUUUUUUAGAAACUAAAAUUACUUUUUAAAAAACAACUUUUUCAGAAGUUAAGCCAAACAUACUCUAAUUUUGAUAAUACUACAUUAGUAAUAUAAUUGGUUUUUUGGCCGUUGCGUGACCCAUACGGCUUCUUUAUCUUUCCAACGCUGUCACGUGACAACGAUAUACAAGUAUACAACUCCCCUACCCUCGGAGAGAAAAAAAAAAUAAAAAAAUAAAAAAAUAAAAAAAAAUGAAACACGUGUUGCUUGUUCACAACUUAAAAUUUAUUAAUAAUAAUAAAUUUAUAACGUAAAGGCAAUUUUAAAUGGAGCAAUUGUUUAUCUAUUCCUUAAAAAUUUUUAACUUUCUGAUUUAACUCUGAAAAUAUUUUUUUUACAUUGCAACAUGUUUCAAAAUGAACAUACCCCUAAACUUAAAUUCUAUUAAUGAACGAUUAGUAAUAGCUGUUAUCUUUAUAAAAUUACUAUUUUGCCUUUUUAAAUAUGUCUUUCUAUUAUCAUCGAUUUUUUUAUUUGUUCUUAAAUUAGGAGUACAAAAAAGUAAAGGUGUCCAAAAUAUCCGAUAUCCCAUACCGGAUCCGAAUCCUAUCCGGACCCGAACCGGAUCCGAACCGGACCCGAUAAAAAAUGAAUAGUAUACGGAUAAAAAAAAGUACCCAUUAAAGUUUCGAGUAUGGGCCUGGAUAUUUUAUAUCCAUACCCGAUUUGGACCCGAUCCGAACCUAACUUUUAAACGGGUAGGGGUUCGGAAUAGUUUUCAAAUCUGGAUCCAGACCCGGACCUGAUGAAAUAUCCGAUAGUAAAUAAAAAAAUAAACUUUUGAAGUUGAAGGAUCAAUUUUAAUAUGAUUUAUAGAUGAUGAGUCACUACGUAUUUUCAUCCUAAUGAAACCCUAGCCGUCUCUUUUACUCAUUAUUUUUUUCUAAUUUUUUUACUCUUUGUUUUCUACUCCUUUUUUUUUCAUUUCAUUUCCGCCAACAAUAUUUCAUUGUCAUCAUCAUCAUCAGUGUCAUCAUCAUCAUCAGCGACAAUAUUUCUUUUGAAUGAAUUUUAUUGGACGGUACAAUUUAUUAAAAUGCGAGUUUUUUUAUGGUGGGCUUUAUAGUUUGUCUAUUGACUAUUUAAUAAAGUUUAUAAAAAAAAUAUAUUAAUACGGAUAUUCGUACCCGAUCUAAACCCGAUCCAUAUCCGGUCUUGAACGGGUAGUAUACGGGUAGUCACUACCCAGACCCGCUCAAAUAGACCCGAUGGGUAU
rnacentral:lncRNA from 1 species